AUUGAACGCUGGCGGCAUGCCUUACACAUGCAAGUCGAACGGCAGCACGGACUUCGGUCUGGUGGCGAGUGGCGAACGGGUGAGUAAUAUAUCGGAACAUACCCUAGAGUGGGGGAUAACGUAGCGAAAGUUACGCUAAUACCGCAUACGAACUAAGGUUGAAAGUGGGGGAUCGCAAGACCUCAUGCUCAUGGAGUGGCCGAUAUCUGAUUAGCUAGUUGGUGAGGUAAAGGCUCACCAAGGCGACGAUCAGUAGCUGGUCUGAGAGGACGACCAGCCACACUGGAACUGAGACACGGUCCAGACUCCUACGGGAGGCAGCAGUGGGGAAUUUUGGACAAUGGGGGCAACCCUGAUCCAGCAAUGCCGCGUGAGUGAAGAAGGCCUUCGGGUUGUUAAAGGCUCUUUUGUUCAGGGAAGAAACGGUGAUCUCUAAUAUAGAUUGCUAAUGACGGUACCUGAAGAAUAAGCACCGGCUAACUACGUGCCAGCAGCCG
rnacentral:rRNA from 1 species